CACGGGGGGAGCGAACGUUGUUCGGAAUCACUGGGCGUAAAGGGCGUGUAGGCGGUUCGGUAAGUGGAAUGUGAAAUCCCCCGGCUUACCCGGGGAACUGCAUCCCAUACUGCUGGACUUGAGUGCGGGAGAGGAUGGAGGAAUUCCUGGUGUAGCGGUGAAAUGCGUAGAUAUCAGGAGGAACACCUGUGGCGAAGGCGGUUCUCUGGGCCUUACCUGACGCUGAGGAGCGAAAGCGUGGGGAGCGAACAGG
rnacentral:rRNA from 1 species